UACGGAGGGGGCUAGCGUUGCUCGGAAUUACUGGGCGUAAAGGGCGCGCAGGCGGAACACACAGUCAGACGUGAAAGCCCCGGGCUUAACCUGGGAAUAGCGUUUGAUACUUGUGAUCUGGAGUCUCGGAGAGGGUGGUGGAAUUCCCAGUGUAGAGGUGAAAUUCGUAGAUAUUGGGAAGAACACCAGUGGCGAAGGCGGCCACCUGGACGAGUACUGACGCUGAGGAGCGAAAGCGUGGGGAGCAAACAGG
rnacentral:rRNA from 1 species